GAUUUGAUUUUAAUCAAUGGUCCAAAUUGAACCAUCACCAUUUCAAAUGAAAUGUCACCAUGAAAUGAUGCAUCUCUAAGUGAAAUGUUGCCAUGAAAAGUUAUAUCAUUUAGUAAAAAGAUACCUUUUCUACAAGACACAAUUAAAUGGACAUGUCCUUACAACAAGACAUCAUUUAAUUAAACAUGUCUUUAGUGAAAGGUAUCUUUUCUACAAGGCACAAUUAAUAGGACAUGUCUUUACCAUAAGACACAUUUAUUUUGAAAAUUUUCCAACAGCCACUACCGAAAGUUGAGGCGGUCCCUCUAUUAGUAGAUCUAAUAACUCCUCCAUUCUAUUAUCUAGACCCACCGUGUCCCUAUUCUUUAAAGAUGAGGAUGCAGGAAAAUUACUAGCUUUUGCUUCAAACGAUUUGAGCUCAUCAACGAUUCUGGAGUGGAUGUGCUGAACUUGCUGCAUCCGUUGUUUUAUAUCAAUGAUUUUGCUUUGGAGUCCUAGCAGAGCAUCACAAAUGUCCUUGCUGCAUCCGCUUUGACUCUUCUGUUGAGUGAUACUGAUAGCAAAUGUGUCAAUCACAUUCUCAGAUAUGUAUGAAAAGCAACGAAUUUUGUCAAUGAUAGCCUUAAAAUCUUCUAAUUCUGCAAGAGUUUGACCCUCUUCUGCAUUGACUUGCUACAUAAACCAAGCAGUGUUGUAUCUAGAGUCCCUCAACCAAGAAGCAACGAUUUCAGUCUCAGUGUAAAGGUUCUAAAUAGGUUGUUCAGCAGCAUCGGGCACCGUGAAUUCUUCACCAGCUAGCACCCUUCUUAGUCUCUCUGAAAAUAGUCCAAGGUUGAUGUCCAUAUCUCCUUCACUCUCGGUAGUCAGUAGCCAGCAGCCCUAGCAUGCAAAGAAAACAAUUAUAAAAAAAAUGGUUAAAAGCUCUCCUUUUACUUCAACAUUAGUCAACAUAAGCAACUGAGGAUGGCACCAAUACCUCCUUCUCAUUUGGGUUAUCAUCUUUCAUGAUACCCCUUCAUUCAUGGCCAUUGGAUCUAGAUUUGAUUUUAAUCAAUGGUCCAAAUUGAACCAUCACCAUUUCAAAUGAAAUGUCACCAUGAAAUGAUGCAUCUCUAAGUGAAAUGUUGCCAUGAAAAGUUAUAUCAUUUAACAAAAAGAUACCUUUUCUACAAGACACAAUUAAAUGGAUAUGUCCUUACAACAAGACAUCAUUUAAUUAGACAUGUCUUUAGUGAAAGAUACCUUUUCUAUAAGGCACAAUUAAUAGGACAUGUCUUUAU
rnacentral:lncRNA from 1 species